ensembl:lncRNA
CCUAAUAUAACCUUUGCAUUCACUAACAUGAGGAGAAUGAUGAAGACUGACAAAUGAUAGUCAAAAUGUCACUAGAUAACAAAUAUCCGGACUUGUAACUAUGGACAAAACUGUCUGAAGGGUGUUAAGCUUUUGAGAGAUUCAUAAAAUCUUCAUUAGAUUAGGAAGAAAUCUGAAGUAUGUGUAAACGGAGAGUAGAAGAAAAUAUUUCUGUCAUCUGACAGCUGCAGAGAUCUUACAUACUCUUCUGAAAUACUUUGUACUGACCGCUGACAGAUGAACUGCAUCCUGGGUGUGAUUCAGAUGGCAAGUUCUUGGCUUGUUCUGGGACACAAACAAAUACUGAGUUCUUGGCUUUAUCUUUUGCAACGUAUUAGCUGCCUCAAAAGAACAAGCAAUCAGUCAAUUUCAAUUAUAUGCAAAGUUCUGAAGUAGCAUGUGUCUGAGGAUGAAUUUCAGGCAUGAAUUUACGAGGCUGGGACUCUCCUUCAAGUCCUGCUUCCUAUGACCUGCACUGUGUGUCACGGGAAAAGCUGCCUAGCCUUCUCACAAGCCACCCAAGGUGGCUAAAACUGCCUGAAACCUCUGUCUGGGCUGGAUUCUCAGCAGGUCUGACUCAACAGAUGUUGCUUCAGCUUUCUGCAGCUCUGAUCUAAAGCCACUACUGUUUCUUCCUACAGUCCUGUAAUACACAACAGACAUAAAGGUCAAAGGCAUCUCUGCCAGUAUUUAGGAACUGCACAGUAAAUUUCUUGAAGCCUCAAAGUCUCAGGAAAGGGAUGAGUAAAAUCUUGUCAAAUUGGAAUUACAGAAACUUCAAUUUCUGAGGCAUGUUUCCACUUUAUCCAUGGGGAGACCAGUUCUUUUUUGGGCCGUUUUCCAUUGCGCAGGGCAAGUAACAAAGGCAGGAGGUUACAACAGCCCCUCUUAGAGAAGAGCAGGCUAAAUGAGGGUAAAAGGAAGUAGUUUGAAAUCAAUUAUGUUUUCGAUGUCUCACAUUUAAACAUGCCAGAAUACAAAUAGCUUUGUAAAUAAUAGUGUUUCAUAACAUACUGGUUAUUUAGAAACAAAUAGAUUUAAUACAGGUAUAAUUACUCCUAAUAGGGCACUUAAACGGUGAGCAAUCACCCAGUAAUUGCUUGCAUUCCUGUGCGAUGACAGCCUGCACUUUAUCAGGUUAGGCUUGUCAAGCUAGACCUUGGGCUUCAUGCUAGGCUUCAUUUUAACCAGCUAACAACUGUAAAUUUUUAGCAGCUUGGUUAUACUAGUAUCUGAAAAGGUGUUAGUGAACGGUGUGUGUUAAAAUAAAGCUUUCUCUAGCAGAACCUCAGUGGAGUAAGCACAGCCACAGGGUGUACAAGGAUACCAGCUGCCAAGGGGGCUGAAAGAUUUUCCAUGGUGGAGUACCCCUUUCGCCCAGUUCUCUGCCUGGCAGGAUGGAUGAGAUCUGGCUGCCAGUGCAUGCCACUGCCUGACACCUUGCAUGCCAGACAGCUGACGGCUUCCAGCUCCAGCCUCCACACAGCAUGUGCAAGGAGGCCACAUUUCCAGAGAGAGGAGUUUGUUCCAUAGAGCCAAAUCCAUCAGGCUUUCAGGGAAUUACCCAGUAUCACAGAUUCAUUUCCAGCCUGCCACUUUUCCUCCAAGAAUCUGAUUUCCAGUCUUCCCAGGGACAACAGUUUCGCUUUUUUAUUGCUGUUGUUAACUGUAAUCUUAAUUUUGUAUAAUGAACUACUAGAAAUAUAGCCCUUGGGUUAGCUGUAACAUGCAGUAGAUGUUGCACAUGCCUUAGUGAAUUGACUGCUAUUUUUCAGCCAGUAGAAAUGCCCCAGAAGACUGCAUGUGCUAUGUGAACAUAUCCCAGUCAGUUGUAGUAAACCAACUUUUCCCCUCAGGAGUCUGUCUCAAGCUUACAUGCGUAAUGAUACUUCUAAGAGUUUGCCCAGGUUAAUGCCUGUGAGCUGCUCUGCUGGUGCCUUUCAAAACCACAUGAAAGGGCAGUAGCACAUUGACUGCAGCCUUUGCUCAUCCCUAUCGUAUGCCUCCCUCCUGACACUUUCACACAGGUGGCAUUGCAGCCUUCAUUUUUCCCUAGGAGGGUGACUGUAAUUGUUUACUCCUAAUUGCCAUAUUUCUCCUUCAUCAUAAAUUGCAAAAGUGAGCAAGCCCCCUACAACUUUUAUUACACUUCUGCAGUGGGUGCUGCUCCCACUUGAUAGGUGGUGGGCAGGAAGUCCACCUGUGCUCUAGGUCCCUUCUGCACUCCUAGUGCCCAGCUCCCUACUGAGGACCAGCCCCCAUGUUAUUGGUGUUUUGCUGUAUUCAGGGCCCUCACAAAAACAUCAGACACAUCAAUAAAGAGAUGGAUUCUGCCCAUUCUGGCUACUGGGUAAGGGGCAGCCAGCUCUCUUCAGGUUAGGGCAUUGAAAUAGAAGUACUUCAAAAGCAGCAUUAAAAAGAUCUUUCUGAGUAAAGCCUCAGGCAUAAGGGAGUAGUCAUACAAUUAUAUUUUCUUCCAGCUACUAAUCUUUCUUAGCUUCUAGCCUGUUUCCUUGCUGAUCCCUGGAAAGUGGGAUUUUAGGUGUUUACUGCUGAAGUUUGGAGUGAUUUAAAAUGAAUUCUUAAAUAUAGUAUAUGAUUCUCAGAACUAAGUUAUUUAUACAUUACUAAUGUUCUAAGCAGUUAAUACUUUCUAAGGACUCUUGUAAUUUAUUAGCCAAUUUCAUAUCUUAUAGCUUAUGAAGAAAUGCCAAUUAACCCUCGUAGCAUGCAGUCAAGAUAGAUGAGGAUUAAGUCCCUACAGUGAGCCCUGGGAAUAGCAGAUAUGCAACGACCUGAAAAUUGUAUCCACAUCUCUUUUGCCUUUAAUUAACAUAAGUUCAUGGUUGGAGUUCCUUUCCUCUUUUUAUUAAUCCUUUAUCUACAGUCUUGGAUCUCUGGGGCUCUAACAAUUAGGACAGCUUACACUUUCUUGAUUCUUCUGAAUCUGACUUCAGACUUGCAGGGGCUUUCCAACCAGACUUGAUAAGCAGGGUGCUGGGAGGCAGGACAAGAUUUCAGUAAGUGUCCAGAGAUAACACAACUGUCCCGGAAGCCAGGAAAAUGAGGAGAGCUGUGGAUACACAUGGGUAACUGACUGUGAGGAAAUUUGAAAUUGCUCAAAUCCUGAUGUGACUACCAGCAUCACCACAGAACUUGAGAGCAUAAGAAAGGAAUGCUAACAGACUUUGAAACACUUCAGAGCUAGUGUUAGAUUCCUGUGGAGAAUACUGUAAAUAAUGCAUAAGGCCAUUAUGCUAUUCUUUGUGUGCAAUUACUUUAUUAGUUUUGAAAUAAAGAGGAAUGUAAAUUUCAAUCUGUACUUAAGACAAAAAAACAAAGCAAUGUAGUAUGCUAUUCCUGAGUAAAAGAUUAACU